UACGGAGGGUGCAAACGUUGCUCGGAAUCAUUGGGCGUAAAGCGCACGUAGGCGGCCUGUUAAGUCGGAUGUGAAAGCCCCGGGCUCAACCCGGGAAGUGCAUACGAAACUGGCAGGCUUGAGUACGAAAGAGGGUCGCGGAAUUCCCGGUGUAGAGGUGAAAUUCGUAGAUAUCGGGAGGAACACCGGUGGCGAAGGCGGCGACCUGGUUCGAUACUGACACUGAGGUGCGAAAGCGUGGGGAGCAAACAGG
rnacentral:rRNA from 1 species